rnacentral:lncRNA from 1 species
UCACAUGUUCAACAAUGAAAUCGUAAAUUGACGCUUAGCGUACAUAAUGGCAAAGCAAACGGUACCAAAACCGUGAUUAGGUAAACCUCACAAACGAAACUCAAAAUAAGCGAAAAGUCAAGAAAUGCAUGUAAAACCAUAAGUAAUAGGCUCAAAGUCGGUUUAUACGUAUCGAUAACAAAUGAAAUUUCGUAUGCGAAGGUCAUAACAUGGAGAAAAAAAUUAAUAUAUCGAUCGAAAUCCG